rnacentral:rRNA from 1 species
CCUUUUCCAGCCUCUACACCGAAAAGGUUCAACAAGCCAACAUCGAGGUAGUAAUAAACAGAUCAAUAGGACCUCUCCCUGUCCUUUACUCAGUUAUCCCCAAGGUAACUUUAUCCUUUAUCCAUAAAGGAUCUAAAAAUAAAUGAAUAAUCUACAUUUACCCCAAACAAAUCUAACACAAAAAAAGCUCUUGGGGUCUUUCCGUCUAAUAAUGUAACAAUGGGUUCCUAACCACUAAACUAAAUUCAGAUAAUAGACUAUCACCUUAAUCACACCUCAUUGAA